rnacentral:lncRNA from 1 species
CUUGCCCAGUCCAGUACGUCCUGUUCCUGCUCCUCGCACUAGCCUUGAGGUGUGCGUCCCUAGUCUGGCGCCUCCAAAGCCAGCCCCACGCACCAGGCCUUUAGUGCGCAGUCCCCGUCUAGAGCUUCCGGCGACAUCCCCGUCUAGAGCUUCCGGCGACAGUGCCCUGUCUAGAGCUUCCGGCGACAGUGCCCCGUCCAGUGCUUCCGGCGACGGCCCACAGUCCGGAACCGACAGAGACGGCCCGCAGUCCGGAACCGACAGACACGCCUGCCGGUCCGGCGCAGCCUGCGUAGUCAAGGCCCUGUGUAUCCAGUUCCUGCUCCUCGCACUAGCCCUGUGGUGUGCGUCCCUAGUCUGGCGCCUCCAAAGCCAGCCCCACGCACCAGGCCUUUAGUGCGC